rnacentral:rRNA from 1 species
UACGAAGGGGGCUAGCGUUGCUCGGAUUUACUGGGCGUAAAGGGCGCGUAGGCGGACAGUUUAGUCAGAGGUGAAAGCCCGGGGCUCAACCUCGGAAUUGCCUUUGAUACUGGCUGUCUUGAGUACGGGAGAGGUGUGUGGAACUGCGAGUGUAGAGGUGAAAUUCGUAGAUAUUCGCAAGAACACCAGUGGCGAAGGCGGCUCACUGGCCCGAUACUGACGCUGAGGCACGAAAGCGUGGGGAGCAAACAGG